rnacentral:rRNA from 1 species
AACGUAGGACACAAGCGUUAUCCGGAGUUACUGGGCGUAAAGAGCGCGUAGGCGGUUUGUUAAGUCUGCUAUGAAAGCACCUGGCUAAACUGGGUGAGGCUGGCGGAUACUGGCAAGCUAGAGUGAGACAGAGGCAGAUGGAAUUCCGCGUGUAGUGGUGAAAUGCGUAGAGAUGCGGAGGAACACCAGUGGCGAAGGCGGUCUGCUGGGUCUCAACUGACGCUGAGGCGCGAAAGCUAGGGGAGCGAACAGG